rnacentral:rRNA from 1 species
GUGGGGAAUUUUGGACAAUGGGCGCAAGCCUGAUCCAGCAAUGCCGCGUGCAGGAAGAAGGCCUUCGGGUUGUAAACUGCUUUUGUACGGAACGAAAAGGCUCUGGUUAAUACCUGGGGCUCAUGACGGUACCGUAAGAAUAAGCACCGGCUAACUACGUGCCAGCAGCCGCGGUAAUACGUAGGGUGCAAGCGUUAAUCGGAAUUACUGGGCGUAAAGCGUGCGCAGGCGGUUUUGUAAGACAGGCGUGAAAUCCCCGGGCUCAACCUGGGAAUGGCGCUUGUGACUGCAAGGCUGGAGUGCGGCAGAGGGGGAUGGAAUUCCGCGUGUAGCAGUGAAAUGCGUAGAUAUGCGGAGGAACACCGAUGGCGAAGGCAAUCCCCUGGGCCUGCACUGACGCUCAUGCACGAAAGCGUGGGGAGCAAACAGGAUUAGAUACCCGUGUAGUCC